rnacentral:rRNA from 1 species
CUCGGCUCACGCCGCGCCAGCCAAAACCCCGCGGCUCCGCACCCGCGGAGACCAUCGAUCCAUUCGGUCUCUCUCUGCCUGCCCGCUCGCCCCACGCCUCCCCUCGCCGCCGCCGCCGCCGCCCGCAGCUAGGGUUCCGGCCGCCGCGGAUCCGCCCGCCCGCCCCCACGCCCCGCGGCAGAUCGGCCCCCCCGCUCCCCCGGCGCCGAGGUCUCCGCCCCGCCGCGGCAGGCAUGAUGAGUCGCCAACAGCAGCAUGCACCUCUUAGGACUUCAGCCAACGGAGCCCCCCACCGGAAGCUUGAUAGGGAGGGUAGUGGAAGGCAUGAUAGUAAAUCACACCUGAUGAGAUCUUCAUCUGGUGGUUUUACCAGUGCAGAAAAUGGAGGCAAACUUGGGCAUGCAAACCCUUCACGGGAUCGACUAGUCUAUGUUAUGACACAAAUUAUUGGGCAUCAUGUGGAUGUGCAUGUCAAAAAUGGAUCUGUUAUCUCUGGAAUCUUCCAUGCAACAAACACCGAUAAAGACUUUGGAAUUAUCUUAAAAAUGGCACAGCCGAUAAAGGAUACUUCUGUGGGAGGACAAAUUAAUACCUCUGAUGUUGUAAGAAAGCCGGAGACUAUGAUAAUACCAGCACGGGAGCUUGUUCAAGUUUUUGCCAAGGACGUAACACUAGGCGGUGAUGAACUGCCAAAAGGCCCUGUCCAUGACAAAAGGAAAGACUUGAUGAUAGAUUCUGCCAUCUCUCGUUCUCAUUUCCCUGAAGAGAGGGAGCUUGAACGCUGGGCACCAGAUGAAGGGGAUUCAGACUGCAUUGAAUUGGAAAAAUUUGACAGAAAGGGACAUAGGAGCUGGGACCAGUUUGAGACAAAUGCAGCUUUGUUUGGGGUAAAGAGUACUUUCAAUGAAGAUCUUUAUACCACAAAGCUUGAGCGAGGUCCUCAUAUGAGAGAGCUUGAAAAGCAUGCUUCAAGGAUAGCACGAGAAAUAGAGGGUGAAGAUACAGAAGAUCUUCAUCUUGCUGAGGAAAGAGGUUUAUACUUGGAUGAAGAUUUGGAGCAUGAUGAAGAGAUCAAAUAUUCUGCAGUUCGGAGGGAUACUGAUACCACAGUUAAACCCUUCACAAAUGUCCCAAGCAGGCCCGUUAGCAUUGAUACCAAGGAUUUGCCAGUGUGUUCAUCAACAAUGGAUGACAAAUCAUCUUCCCAUAUAUCUGGUGGUACUCAUUUGUCUGCCACUGCUGAAUACCAGUCAAACAAGCUUUUGCCUGCUGAUGCCAACAGGUUGGAUGGUAAGAGAAGUAAAGAUAGUAGCGGUGACAAAGACAACAGGAUCUUGCAACCCGAGAAUACUUUACCUGAAGGGGGCAGGCCGCUGAUUUCUGAAGAUUUGGAAGGAGCACCUUCAAGGUCGCGUGCGUCUGAGCCUUCAUCUUCUGGCCAAGGAAACAAGCCAUCAGAUGGUUUGGCACAAGAUUCGACUCUACCCAGCAAACUUCCUUCUGCGCCUGAAUAUGCGAAUUCUUCUCAAAGACCUGGCAGUUCUACACCAUUAACAUCCGAGCGUGUUGCUGCGAACUCAGCUGCGAGUGCUGCUCCAGGCUUAUCACCAAGUUCUUCGAUGGGAUCUCUUAGCUCAGACAAAUCAAGUUUGAACCCAAACGCUAAGGAAUUCAAAUUGAACCCUAAUGCUAAGAGUUUCACUCCCUUGACUUCUCCGAGGCCACAUCACCCUCCAGCGCCUGAUGCAACAUACUAUUAUCCUAAUAACAUGGGGGCUACUGGACCUGGUUUGCCAGUUGGCAUGGGGUUCCCACAGGCGUAUGGUGGACAGCCUGUUGUUUACAAUGCUCAGCCUGGAUCUUCUCCCCAGGGUUACAUGCAUCCUUCUGGGCAACAGUAUGGGCAGCAAAUGAUGAUGGGACAGACCCGCCCUGUCUAUUAUUAUGCACCUGAGAUGCAGCAGCAGCAAUACAGAGGAAGGAACUUCUAGGUAGAUUGAUUUUGUUACGCUGCAAUGUGGAACUCUGCAGUGAAAUCCCCAUUGGCGGGAUGCUAACCAGGCCGAUGCGCCGCUAGGCGGGAAAAGAACUGGCGAUGGCCUCUGACUUCAACCAUGUGUGUUUUGUCGCCAGGACGAAGAUCACCGUUGUUCCUUCUGCGACAGUGUUCGAGUCUGAAGCGGGCUAACUCGGAUUUAUUGUUCUUAUUUACACCAUAGACGCGAUGUUGUAAAUUAAAAAAAAAGCAAGGCCAUCUAUUUCGUGUGCCCCUGGGAUCAUGAUAUUCUCGAGUGUGUGGGUGGGUUCUUUCCUUUUUGUAAUACUUGGUGUUUGAUGUCUACAUCUUGCUGAUUUAUUUAAGACUUGUUUGGGAAUCCGAAAACUGAAGAGUACCACUGGCUGUCAGAUAAUGUGC